CCUACGGGAGGCAGCAGUGGGGAAUAUUGCACAAUGGGGGAAACCCUGAUGCAGCGACGCCGCGUGAGUGAAGAAGUAAUUCGUUAUGUAAAGCUCUAUCAGCAGGGAAGAAAAUGACGGUACCUGACUAAGAAGCCCCGGCUAACUACGUGCCAGCAGCCGCGAUAAUACGUAGGGGGCAAGCGUUAUCCGGAUUUACUGGGUGUAAGGGGAGCGUAGACGGUCCUGCAAGCCAGAUGUGAAAGCCCGGGGAUCAACCCCGGGACUGCAUUUGGAACUGUAAGGCUAGAGUGUCGGCGAGGCAGGCGGAAUGCCUAGUGUAGCGGUGAAAUGCGUAGAUAUUAGGAGGAACACCAGUGGCGAAGGCGGCCUGCUGGACGAUGACUGACGUUGAGGCUCGAAAGCGUGGGGAGCAAACAGGAUUAGAUACCCUGGUAGUC
rnacentral:rRNA from 1 species